rnacentral:rRNA from 1 species
UACGAAGGGGGCUAGCGUUGCUCGGAAUUACUGGGCGUAAAGGGCGCGUAGGCGGUUCUAUAAGUCAGGCGUGAAAUUCCUGGGCUUAACCUGGGGGCUGCGCUUGAGACUGUGGGACUUGAGGUCAGAAGAGGGUCGUGGAAUUCCCAGUGUAGAGGUGAAAUUCGUAGAUAUUGGGAAGAACACCGGUGGCGAAGGCGGCGACCUGGUCUGAUACUGACGCUGAGGCGCGAAAGCUAGGGGAGCAAACGGG